rnacentral:rRNA from 1 species
UUGGAGGGCAAGUCUGGUGCCAGCAGCCGCGGUAAUUCCAGCUCCAAUAGCGUAUAUUAAAGUUGUUGCAGUUAAAAAGCUCGUAGUUGAAUUUCGGGAUCAAUGUUUCGGUCAUGCCGUUGGUAUGUACUGAUAUUAUUGAUUUCUCACCUUCUAAAGAACCGUAAUGCCAUUAAUUUGGUGUCACGGGGAAUUAGGACUGUUACCUUGAAAAAAUUAGAGUGUUUAAAGCAGGCUUACGCUUGAAUACAUUAGCAUGGAAUAAUGAAAUAGGACAUCCGAUUCUAUUUUGUUGGUUUCUAGGAUCGAUGUAAUGAUUAAUAGGGAUAGUUGGGGGCAUUAGUAUUCAAUUGUCAGAGGUGAAAUUCUUGGAUUUGUUGAAGACUAACUACUGCGAAAGCAUUUGCCAAGGAUGUUUUCAUUAAUCAAGAACGAAAGUUAGGGGAUCGAAGACGAUCAGAUACCGUCGUAGUCUUAACCAUAAACUAUGCCGACUAGGGAUCGGAUGAUGUUAAUUUUUUAAUGACUCAUUCGGCACCUUACGGGAAACCAAAG